GUGAAGACUUCAGUACUUUACAGAAAGAUGUUGACAGGUGGAUGAAUGCGUCCCUUACAGCUCCAUGCAAAAGAGUUCCUGCCCCAUGCACUGACAGUGAGCAGACACUGCAGUGUGUCUUCAUGAAUGGACAGCCAUGUGUGUUACUGGUCUCAGUGAUACACAAAGCCAAUUUCAGUCACAAGCUGCAUCCUACAGCCUUGCCACACCUGGUGACAAUUCUUGGUGGGAAGUACGAGCCAGCUGCAGUGACGUACCACCUGGGCACAAACAAUCACUUGGCAUUCCACAAAGUGGGCGCUGACAAAGGCUGGC